UUGUGACAAGAUAUACACUCAAUUUAUUUCGAAAUUUUUGUGACUUUUUAGAGCGCUGCCGUCACCGCCCCUCGCCCAGGUUCAACGGUUCAACCUCUCUCCGCCACCGCCCCCACUGCUCUCUCCCGAGCCUCUCCCGCCUCCCGAGCUCCGCCGUCGUUCGUCGCCAGCUGCGUGCUCCCCCUACCCUCUGCACUCCUAUCUCUGCGCGCGCCAAGCUGUCCUCCUCCGACCAGAUCCCGGGCUGUCCGCUCUGGUGAGGGAGGGAACAGAGGGGGUCCUGCGGCUCAUCGUCCAGUAGAUUGUGCCACCGUUUCAAAGUGCGCCACGCGCGCAGUGCAGUUCGCAAAGGAUUGAAUCAAGAAUUUGAGCUCUGCGGCUGCUGUGACCUGUGAAUCGAUCUCUGUGUUUUUUUCCUUCCUAAAUCACCAAAACUGGAACCAUGGGGCUGCAAUUUUUUGCAGGUACAUUGUGCUGUUAGCUCUCCUGGCCUAUUGAAUUAAUAUUGCUAGCUGUUGUGGUCUAUUGAAGGUUACAUUGCUGAAAACUUGUCUAUUUGUAGAAAUGUAGCAUGCUCGGUGCCCAGAUUGGCUGUGCAGCAAUCGUUGUACUAGCCCUUUAGUUGUUUGGGCCUGUCUGGUUAGCAAGGGGCGCGUCUCUUGCUGCAUGUUGUUGCCAAUUGCUUCUUUCUUUUUCUCCAGAUAUUUUUACUAGCCUUCCUUCUAAGGCUCUCGCUCAACUGCCUGCCUAUUAACUUUUAGUAGUAAAGACUACAAAUAUGCCCGUAUGUUUUAAAAUAAACUGACUAUGAUAGCAUUAUCUAAUGCCUAAUUGACAUCAAUUGUGCUAAUGUGGUUUUAAGUUGAAUCAAAGCAUAAUUUGUAGUCUCAGAUCUCGCUUCAAUUCAGCAGAGAUAUACCGGCAAUCAGGUUGUCUUGUUUUGCUGAAAUAUCAAUCAUGGCUAUGCGACCGAGGAGCUCAUGUCUUUGUUCCAGAUGUACGUACAUUUUCAUUAUGCUUGUCUAAAUUGUUUUGGUUUUGCCUUUUAGGAAGGGUUUCUUUUAUCUAUAUCUGCUCUAUUGCUUUUAUAAUCUAUAUAACUAAUAUCAGGAAAGAGUAUGUCUUGGGACUUAAAGUUAUCAAGCUCUUCUAACCGGUUUCUUAAUUUUCUCUCCUUAACCAAGUUCUCUAUUGCAAAAUGACAUCUCUCGUAUGCUGCAUGUUAUUAUCAUUAGCUUCUGAAAUGCAACAUCUCUUAUACUGCCUAUUAACUUUUAGUAGUAAAAGAGAAGAAGUUUGUUUAUUUAUUUAGACUUUUUUUUCCCUGUUUCCUGGUAGAGUGGCAUUAUUGCUAUUGAAGAUUGGAAAACCAAUUAGCUUAUUGUCUUUGCUUUUCCAUUGUUCUGUUGAUCCUGAUCUUUCCUCUGGCCAGAGGUCUGCCUUUGCUGACUUUGGCAACAAGCGCAUUAGAGAAGCAAAAUGUUGGGUGUAGUAUUAACUACUUAAGAGAGAUCAGGUACAUUCAUGACCAGUUCAAGGUGGUGUGUGUAUUGAACAUUUGAAUUGUUGUAUUAUUUUCCUUGUUCUGUCAAAUAAUUUAUUUUCUUUUAGGAAGUUUUGGUUUUCAUGGCAUUUCACUCUAAUGUCUUCUCUUGUUAUGAAAUCUCUCGUGGUACAAUUUGAUAGGUAAAUUUACUUUUACGGCCUCUUGUUGGUUUGCUUUUAGAGUUCAUGCUUAAAAUUUUGUAUAAAGCUGUUAGAUAGCGAAUUGAGAUUUCCUAUAGUUGUUCUAGAGGAGUUACCUUUUGCUUUGCUAUGCCUGCAUGUGUAAGAUGAGAUGGAUAUUUCUUUAGUAAGUCCAUUUGUUCUUUCUUUCACAUCCUCGUUUGUUUUUCAGACAUGUGUACAGGCCUAUUGUUGAAAAACUCAUGUCCGGUACUAUAUGUGGUGUAAUAUAUGUUGCCUUAUCCUCUUA